rnacentral:rRNA from 1 species
CCUACGGGUGGCAGCAGUGGGGGAUAUUGCACAAUGGGGGAAACCCUGAUGCAGCGAUGCCGCGUGAGUGAAGAAGUAUUUCGGUAUGUAAAGCUCUAUCAGCAGGGAAGAAAAUGACAGUACCUGACCAAGAAGCCCCGGCUAACUACGUGCCAGCAGCCGCGGUAAUACGUAGGGGGCACGCGUGAUCCGGAUUUACUGGGUGUAAAGGGAGCGUAGACGGUUAGGUAAGUCUGGAGUGAAAGCCCGGGGCCCAACCCCGGAACUGCUUUGGAAACUGGGUAACUGGAGUGCAGGAGGGGCAGGAGGAAUUCCUGGUGUAGCGGUGAAAUGCGUAGAUAUCA